rnacentral:rRNA from 1 species
UUUCUUUGGAGAGUUUGAUCCUGGCUCAGGACGAACGCUGGCGGCGUGCCUAAUACAUGCAAGUCGAGCGGACCGGGCGGG